rnacentral:lncRNA from 1 species
UCAGAAGCAGAUUCUAAUUGUCUUUCUUAACUAGAGGUUGAUGGACAGAAGGAGGUGAAAAUUCUCAUGAAGCAUCCUGCCACGGUCCAUGGUAGAGAAGUAACAAAAAUCAAACUAGUUUUCACCACCCAGUUUGAUAUUUUAAGUGUGUUAAAAAAAAUUCUGGGAGAAGACAAAAUGAUGAUAAUUAUGGGUCAAGAGGAUCUUGUCAGUGAGGAGUCACAAACAAGACAAAAUGGAACAUUAACAACGUGUGAAUCCCCUUAUCUACAGCAGACCAAAGAUACUUCAAGCACUGAAAAAACAGAUUCUUUAUCAGACAUCCUGGCAUCUCAAUAUAGCGAUCAGACAGGGAC